rnacentral:rRNA from 1 species
CCCUUAGAUGUUCUGGGCCGCACGCGCGCUACACUGAACAGUUCAACAAGUCUUAACCUUGGCCGAUAGGUCUGGGUAAUCUUUGAACGCUGUUCGUGAUUGGGAUAGACCUUUGCAAUUAUGGGUCUUCAACGAGGAAUUCCUAGUAAACGCAAGUCAUCAGCUUGCAUUGAUUACGUCCCUGCCCUUUGUACACACCGCCCGUCGCACCUACCGAUUGAAUGGUCCGGUGAAAUCUCGGGGCGGCGGCUUGGUCGCUUGCGUCCGACUGCUGAAACUUGAUUAAACCAUAUCAUUUAGAGGAAGGUGAAGUCGUAACA